CCCUAACAACAGAGUCAGCCUAUCCUUUGAAGCUUUGAAGCCAGGCAUUGACUUUUCCUCUCUAGCUAUGGAAGUCCUAGGUGGCAUCUUCUUCCAAUAGAAGGCUGUUUUAUCUACAUUGAAAAUCUGUUUAGUGUAGCCACCUUCAUCAAUGAUCUUAGCUAGAUCUUCUGGAUAACUUGGUGCAGCUUCUCCAUCAGCACUUCCUGCUU
rnacentral:lncRNA from 1 species